GAGGGUAUAGCCCAGUGGUAGAGCGCAUGCUUAUUAGCAUGUAGGAAGUCCUGGGUUCGAUCCCCAGUACCUCUG
rnacentral:tRNA from 1 species